GAUGAACGCUAGCGGCAGGCUUAAUACAUGCAAGUCGAACGGUAAGGUCUCUUCGGAGAUACACGAGUGGCGCACGGGUGCGUAACGCGUAUGCAACCUACCUUUAACUGGGAAAUAGCCCCGAGAAAUACGGGAGUUAAUGUCCCACUAUUAUUCUGAGAAUGCAUAUUCUUAGAAUGAAAGACUCCGGCGGUUAUUGAUGGGCGAUGCGUGACAUUAGCUAGUUGGUGAGGUAACGGCUCACCAAGGCUACGAUGUCUAGGGGUCCGUGAGAGGGUUAACCCCCACCACUGGUACUGAGACACGGACCAGACACCUACGGGUGGCUG
rnacentral:rRNA from 1 species